AUUGAACGCUGGCGGCAGGCCUAACACAUGCAAGUCGAACGGUAACAGGAAGACGCUUGCUUCUUUGCUGACGAGUGGCGGACGGGUGAGUAAUGUCUGGGAAACUGCCUGAUGGAGGGGGAUAACUACUGGAAACGGUAGCUAAUACCGCAUAACGUCGCAAGACCAAAGAGGGGGACCUUCGGGCCUCUUGCCAUCGGAUGUGCCCAGAUGGGAUUAGCUAGUAGGUGGGGUAACGGCUCACCUAGGCGACGAUCCCUAGCUGGUCUGAGAGGAUGACCAGCCACACUGGAACUGAGACACGGUCCAGACUCCUACGGGAGGCAGCAGUGGGGAAUAUUGCACAAUGGGCGCAAGCCUGAUGCAGCCAUGCCGCGUGUAUGAAGAAGGCCUUCGGGUUGUAAAGUACUCUCAGCGGGGAGGAAGGGAGUAAAGUUAAUACCUUUACUCAUUGACGUUACCCGCAGAAGAAGCACCGGCUAACUCCGUG
rnacentral:rRNA from 1 species